rnacentral:tRNA from 1 species
UCCGGUGUAGCUCAGUGGUAGAGCGGCCGCCUGUUAAGCGGUUGGUCGUAGGUUCGAAUCCUACCGCCGGAGCCC